ensembl:snRNA U6 U6 spliceosomal RNA
GUGCUUGCUUCUGCAGCACAUAUACUAAAAAAUUGGAAAGAUACAGGGAAGAUUAGCAUGGCCCCUGUGCAUGGAAGACAUAAAUUUGCAAAGUGUUCCAUAUUUUU